rnacentral:rRNA from 1 species
GACGAACGCUGGCGGCGCGCUUAACACAUGCAAGUCGAACGGAAAGGCCUGCUUUCCCUUGUGGAUUGCGGGUACUCGAGUGGCGAACGGGUGAGUAACACGUGAGUUAUCUGCCCCCAACUUGGGUAUAAGCCUGGGAAACUGGGUCUAAUUCCCGAUAGGACUGCAGGGUGGUGCCUGUGGUGGAAAACGAUUUUCUAGUGGUUGGGGAUGAGCUCGCGGCCUAUCAGCUUGUUGGUGGGGUAAUGGCCUACCAAGGCGGCGACGGGUAGCCGGCCUGAGAGGGUGGACGGCCACAUUGGGACUGGGAUACGGCCCAGACUCCUACGGGAGGCAGCAGUGGGGAAUAUUGCACAAUGGGCGGAAGCCUGAUGCAGCGACGCCGCGUGGGGGAUGACGGCCUUCGGGUUGUAAACUCCUUUCGACCGCGAGGAAGCCACCUGGUUGGAAGGGUGGUGACGGUAGUGGUAGAAGAAGCACCGGCUAACUACGUG